rnacentral:rRNA from 1 species
UACGUAGGUGGCAAGCGUUGUCCGGAUUUACUGGGCGUAAAGAGCGCGCAGGCGGUCGUUCAAGUCGCGUGUGAAAGCCCCCGGCUCAACUGGGGAGGGUCACGCGAUACUGAUCGACUCGAAGGCAGGAGAGGGUAGUGGAAUUCCCGGUGUAGUGGUGAAAUGCAUAGAUAUCGGGAGGAACACCAGUGGCGAAGGCGACUACCUGGCCUGUUCUUGACGCUGAGGCGCGAAAGCUAGGGGAGCAAACGGG